rnacentral:rRNA from 1 species
GGUUGCGAUCAUACCAGCACUAAUGCACCGGAUACCAUCAGAACUCCGCAGUUAAGCGUGCUUGGGCGAGAGUAGUACUAGGAUGGGUGACCCCCUGGGAAGUCCUCGUGUUGCAACCCC